AGUGAACGCUGGCGGUAGGCCUAACACAUGCAAGUCGAACGGCAGCACAGUAAGAGCUUGCUCUUACUGGUGGCGAGUGGCGGACGGGUGAGGAAUACAUCGGAAUCUACUUUUUCGUGGGGGAUAACGUAGGGAAACUUACGCUAAUACCGCAUACGACCUACGGGUGAAAGCAGGGGAUCUUCGGACCUUGCGCGAUUGAAUGAGCCGAUGUCGGAUUAGCUAGUUGGCGGGGUAAAGGCCCACCAAGGCGACGAUCCGUAGCUGGUCUGAGAGGAUGAUCAGCCACACUGGAACUGAGACACGGUCCAGACUCCUACGGGAGGCAGCAGUGGGGAAUAUUGGACAAUGGGCGCAAGCCUGAUCCAGCCAUACCGCGUGGGUGAAGAAGGCCUUCGGGUUGUAAAGCCCUUUUGUUGGGAAAGAAAAGCAGCAGGUUAAUACCCCGCUGUUAUGACGGUACCCAAAGAAUAAGCACCGGCUAACUUCGUG
rnacentral:rRNA from 1 species